rnacentral:tRNA from 1 species
GGUUGUGGCUCAGUGGUAGAACGCUUGCUUAGCAUGUGUGAGGCACUAGGUUCUAUCCCUGGGACCA